AUUCUUAGAUACCUUAAAAUGCUGUCUACUAAGAUACCUUAUUCUGACCCUGUAAUAAGAGAGCAUUAGACCCUUCCUCAGCCGGUAAGGCAAUCCCAUGAUGCAGCGCGGGGCAGCACAGCGUAGCUCAACUUCUUCCAUCAUGGCGGACGGAAGUGGAUCGGCCAGCGGCGAAGUCAUUUUCAAAUGUAAGUUAUUUAAGUUUUUAUAGCGUAAGUAUGGUGUUUCAUGAGUUUUCUUGGCAUAAAAUAACAUAAAUUAGCGUUUUAUUUGUAGUUUUGGUUAGUUGGUGGCCGUUUUCCAGUUUUUUAUAUAUCGAGGUGUUAGCAUUUAUGCUAGCGGGUUUUGAAGCGCCAGUGCAUUGUUUUAGAUGGGCUGAUGCUAACUAGCCUGUUAGCUCAAUAGCUAAGUAACCUCACUGGCGAUAUUCAGCGCUUUUUUAUCAGUCGCCGUAAAAUUUUAUUAGUUAACUCAGUUAACCCUUUCUUUAUAGUUAGUUAGACCUGUCGGGUUUAUACAAUCUGUAUGUGGGCUGUUUAACGUGAUAGCCAGUGUUCAGAUAUACAAAUUACUUCCACUCUUUUAGGGACCAGAUCAGCAAUAGAAGCCUUUAUAAAGGCUCGCAUAGAGAAGGAGAGGCUCUUCACUGGGGAGAAAAACUCCGCUCUCUCAGCUUGGAAGACUAUUCUUCUGGAAUUGGGGCUUGCGGACAAAGUUAUGCCCCAACAAGCCAGAAAAAAAUGGGACAAUCUAAAAAAAAGUACAAAGCUGAACAACAUCUCCCGCUGCCAUGCAGAUGUUGUGCAGAGUGACACAGGCAGCAAUCACCUCUGGCACAAACCUUGGAUUUACCUCUUGGGCAUGCAGGAAAAUUGACCUCCAUCUGGUCUUCAGCAUCCCAAAAGCACGUUCAAUUAUAGAACGUGCCCUUGCAUGAUGCCUAUUGAAGGCCACCCUCUCUUCUCCUCUGACAGGCUUCUUGAAUGGAGUGAUGAGGGCUAUGGGCUAAGAGAUGCAUGGGUACCCACCAUCACCAAGUAUCAUGUAGCCUCUGGGUGGGAAAGUGGCCUGCCGAUACAGAAUGCUGUGACAGAGCACCCGUGCAUCAUGUACUGAGCCAGGAAAGCCAAUAAAAACAUCCAGAAACGUUGCCUGGUGGUCACAGACAGCCUGAAAUUGCACAGAUGGGUAGAGCUUCCGGUUUCUGUAGCACUGUGCAUCAGGUUCUCCAGGGGCUUUGAUUCGCACAUGACACCCAUCUAUGGCACCCACUACAGAGUGAAAAGCUGUAUGGUUUCCCAGCCACACGAAGCCAUCAGAGAUGCUCUGCAGUUCUUCGGGUUUUGGGUGCCGGAUUACUUUGGGUAGGAUUUGCCGCAUUUCACUGGCCACUCUGUGAAUUACACGGUGCACUGUAGAACGGGGCAUAGCAAAAGCACGGGAAACAACGCGGUAUGAUGUGCCACAGGCCAACCAAAAAAGAAAAACUAACACCUCAAUGGUCCCCCCCCAACCAUGGGUGCCUUCGUGCUUGAUAAGUUGAAAAAGCACUU